rnacentral:rRNA from 1 species
AUUGAACGCUGGCGGCAGGCCUAACACAUGCAAGUCGAGCGGAUGAAGGGAGCUUGCUCCUGGAUUCAGCGGCGGACGGGUGAGUAAUGCCUAGGAAUCUGCCUGGUAGUGGGGGAUAACGUCCGGAAACGGGCGCUAAUACCGCAUACGUCCUGAGGGAGAAAGUGGGGGAUCUUCGGACCUCACGCUAUCAGAUGAGCCUAGGUCGGAUUAGCUAGUUGGCGGGGUAAAGGCCUACCAAGGCGACGAUCCGUAACUGGUCUGAGAGGAUGAUCAGUCACACUGGAACUGAGACACGGUCCAGACUCCUACGGGAGGCAGCAGUGGGGAAUAUUGGACAAUGGGCGAAAGCCUGAUCCAGCCAUGCCGCGUGUGUGAAGAAGGUCUUCGGAUUGUAAAGCACCUUAAGUUGGGAGGAAGGGCAGUAAGUUAAUACCUUGCUGUUUUGACGUUACCAACAGAAUAAGCACCGGCUAACUUCGU